UGUGGGAGGCUCAGGGCCCCUG
rnacentral:miRNA from 1 species